rnacentral:rRNA from 1 species
GACGAACCGUGCGAACGUUGUUCGGAAUCACUGGGCUUAAAGGGCGCGUAGGCGGCCUGCCAAGUCAGGGGUGAAAGCCCCCAGCUCAACUGGGGAAGUGCCUUUGAUACUGGCGGGCUCGAGUCGAGGCAGGGGUCGUGGGAACUUCCGGUGGAGCGGUGAAAUGCGUUGAUAUCGGAAGGAACGCCGGUGGCGAAAGCGCACGACUGGUCCUCUCCUGACGCUGAGGCGCGAAAGCCAGGGGAGCAAACGGG